UACAGAGGGUGCGAGCGUUAAUCGGAGUUACUGGGCGUAAAGGGCGCGUAGGCGGUUAUAUGUGUGUGAUGUGAAAGCCUUGGGCUUAACCUGGGAAGUGCAUCGCGAACUAUAUGACUGGAGUAUAUGAGAGGGUGGUGGAAUUUCCGGUGUAGCGGUGAAAUGCGUAGAGAUCGGAAGGAACGUCAAUGGCGAAGGCAGCCACCUGGCAUAAUACUGACGCUGAAGCGCGAAAGCGUGGGGAGCGAACAGGAUUAGAUACCCCUGUAGU
rnacentral:rRNA from 1 species